AGCGAACGCUGGCGGCAGGCCUAACACAUGCAAGUCGAACGAACUCUUCGGAGUUAGUGGCGGACGGGUGAGUAACACGUGGGAACGUGCCUUUAGGUUCGGAAUAACUCAGGGAAACUUGUGCUAAUACCGAAUGUGCCCUUCGGGGGAAAGAUUUAUCGCCUUUAGAGCGGCCCGCGUCUGAUUAGCUAGUUGGUUGGGGUAAUGGCCCACCAAGGCGACGAUCAGUAGCUGGUCUGAGAGGAUGACCAGCCACAUUGGGACUGAGACACGGCCCAAACUCCUCCGGGAGGCAGCAGUGGGGAAUCUUGGGCAAUGGGCGAAAGCCUGACGCAGCCAUGCCGCGUGAGUGAUGAAGGCCUUAGGGUUGUAAAGCUCUUUCGGCGGGGACGAUAAUGACGGUACCCGCAGAAGAAGCCCCGGCUAACUUCGUGCCAGCCGCCGCCGUAACAC
rnacentral:rRNA from 1 species